CAUAGGUUAAUGAGGCGAACCGGGGGAACUGAAACAUCUAAGUACCCCGAGGAAAAGAAAUCAACCGAGAUUCCCCCAGUAGCGGCGAGCGAACGGGGAGCAGCCCAGAGCCUGAAUCAGUGUGUGUGUUAGUGGAAGCGUCUGGAAAGGCGCGCGAUACAGGGUGACAGCCCCGUACACAAAAAUGCACAUGCUGUGAGCUCGAUGAGUAGGGCGGGACACGUGGUAUCCUGUCUGAAUAUGGGGGGACCAUCCUCCAAGGCUAAAUACUCCUGACUGACCGAUAGUGAACCAGUACCGUGAGGGAAAGGCGAAAAGAACCCCGGCGAGGGGAGUGAAAAAGAACCUGAAACCGUGUACGUACAAGCAGUGGGAGCACGCUUAGGCGUGUGACUGCGUACCUUUUGUAUAAUGGGUCAGCGACUUAUAUUCUGUAGCAAGGUUAACCGAAUAGGGGAGCCGAAGGGAAACCGAGUCUUAACUGGGCGUUAAGUUGCAGGGUAUAGACCCGAAACCCGGUGAUCUAGCCAUGGGCAGGUUGAAGGUUGGGUAACACUAACUGGAGGACCGAACCGACUAAUGUUGAAAAAUUAGCGGAUGACUUGUGGCUGGGGGUGAAAGGCCAAUCAAACCGGGAGAUAGCUGGUUCUCCCCGAAAGCUAUUUAGGUAGCGCCUCGUGAAUUCAUCUCCGGGGGUAGAGCACUGUUUCGGCAAGGGGGUCAUCCCGACUUACCAACCCGAUGCAAACUGCGAAUACCGGAGAAUGUUAUCACGGGAGACACACGGCGGGUGCUAACGUCCGUCGUGAAGAGGGAAACAACCCAGACCGCCAGCUAAGGUCCCAAAGUCAUGGUUAAGUGGGAAACGAUGUGGGAAGGCCCAGACAGCCAGGAUGUUGGCUUAGAAGCAGCCAUCAUUUAAAGAAAGCGUAAUAGCUCACUGGUCGAGUCGGCCUGCGCGGAAGAUGUAACGGGGCUAAACCAUGCACCGAAGCUGCGGCAGCGACGCUUAUGCGUUGUUGGGUAGGGGAGCGUUCUGUAAGCCUGUGAAGGUGUGCUGUGAGGCAUGCUGGAGGUAUCAGAAGUGCGAAUGCUGACAUAAGUAACGAUAAAGCGGGUGAAAAGCCCGCUCGCCGGAAGACCAAGGGUUCCUGUCCAACGUUAAUCGGGGCAGGGUGAGUCGACCCCUAAGGCGAGGCCGAAAGGCGUAGUCGAUGGGAAACAGGUUAAUAUUCCUGUACUUGGUGUUACUGCGAAGGGGGGACGGAGAAGGCUAUGUUGGCCGGGCGACGGUUGUCCCGGUUUAAGCGUGUAGGCUGGUUUUCCAGGCAAAUCCGGAAAAUCAAGGCUGAGGCGUGAUGACGAGGCACUACGGUGCUGAAGCAACAAAUGCCCUGCUUCCAGGAAAAGCCUCUAAGCAUCAGGUAACAUCAAAUCGUACCCCAAACCGACACAGGUGGUCAGGUAGAGAAUACCAAGGCGCUUGAGAGAACUCGGGUGAAGGAACUAGGCAAAAUGGUGCCGUAACUUCGGGAGAAGGCACGCUGAUAUGUAGGUGAAGUCCCUCGCGGAUGGAGCUGAAAUCAGUCGAAGAUACCAGCUGGCUGCAACUGUUUAUUAAAAACACAGCACUGUGCAAACACGAAAG
rnacentral:rRNA from 1 species